CUUUCUUAACGUGACCUNCGAAGGAUCAUAUCCGAGUGUAGGGUUCCUAGCGAGCCCAACCUCCCACCCGUGUUUACUGUACCUUAGUUGCAUCCGCGGGCCCGCAAUUCAAUGGCCGCCGGGGGCUCUCAGCCCCGGGCCCGCGCCCGCCGGAGACACCACGAACUCUGUCUGAUCUAGUGAAGUCUGAGUUGAUUGUAUCGCAAUCAGUUAAAACUUUCAACAAUGGAUCUCUUGGUUCCGGCAUCGAUGAAGAACGCAGCGAAAUGCGAUAACUAGUGUGAAUUGCAGAAUUCCGUGAAUCAUCGAGUCUUUGAACGCACAUUGCGCCCCCUGGUAUUCCGGGGGGCAUGCCUGUCCGAGCGUCAUUGCUGCCCAUCAAGCACGGCUUGUGUGUUGGGUCGUCGUCCCCUCUCCGGGGGGGACGGGCCCCAAAGGCAGCGGCGGCACCGCGUCCGAUCCUCGAGCGUAUGGGGCUUUGUCACCAGCUCUGUGAGGCCCGGCCGGCGCUUGCCGAACGCAAAUCAAUCUUUUCCAGGUUGACCUCGGAUCAGGUAGGGAUACCCGCUGAACUUAGCAUAUCAAUAGCCGGAGGAACNNNUNGGUNNCCU
rnacentral:rRNA from 1 species